rnacentral:rRNA from 1 species
AUGACCAUCAACAACAGGCUCGGCCACCACUUUGCCAGCGUCUCCGGCAACGGUGCAGCCCCGUUCGACCUUUCCAUCCCUUACCUGCACAAUAACAAGUAUGGCGGCAUCACCCAGUUGGAUGCCUGCAAUGGCCUCCUUCUAUACUGUGCCUUCAAGAAGAAGAUGGAGAGUUGGGAUGAUUUCGGUUUUCUAGUGUGCAAUCCCGCCACUGGGAGGUGGUUGGAGCUGCCAGGAGCCUGGAGUUGCAGGAGUAGUAGGAUGGUUGAGAAAGUGCUGCCCUUCCGUAGUAAAUGUGUCUUCGUCGGCGGUAUGAUGUAUUUGAUUGGCAGCCUGAUGGGCUUCAACAACAAGUACGUCCUGAUGGUGGUGGACAUGGAGGGGAAAGUGUGGAAGAUUAUCCCUUUGCCGUACGGCCAAAGAUCUGCCACGAUUGGAGUGUCACAAGGGUGCUUACACUAUAUUGUAGAUUCAACUGUUUCAGUCAAUGAUAGUAAUGAAAUCCUAGUUUCUGGGAUAACACUUUGGUGCCUCAAGGAUCGUGACAGUAAAGAAUUGGUUCUCAAGCGUUCUGCCAACAUCAAUGAGCUAAUGAGCAUGAUUGGGGAGAAGUACAUGGUGGCCGAGAUUCAUCCAGAUUGUGACACCAUUUUCUUGAUGUCAUCUGGAGGUGAUACCUUGGUAGCGUAUGAUAUGCAACAUCAGAAAGUUCAUUGUAUCCUUAAUCUUGAGAAAGGCAUUACAAAACCGAAACGGUUUCUACCCUAUGUUCCUCUCUUCUCAGAGUCAUUACCAGAUGCAGAUGGGCAGUAG